rnacentral:rRNA from 1 species
CUGCUGCCUUCCGUAGGAGUCUGGUCCGUGUCUCAGUACCAGUGUGGGGGACCUUCCUCUCAGAACCCCUACGCAUCGUCGCCUCGGUGGGCCGUUACCCCGCCGACUAGCUAAUGCGACGCAUGGCCAUCCUAUGCCGGAGUCGCCUCCUUUGACCCCCAAGAAGAUGUCUCCUAAAGGUGUUAUGCGGUAUUAGACGGAAUUUCUUCCGCUUAUCCCCCUGCAUAGGGCAGGUUCCAUACGUGUUACUCACCCGUGCGCCGG